rnacentral:rRNA from 1 species
UACUCCUACGGGAGGCAGCAGUGGGGUAUAUUGCACAAUGGGGGAAACCCUGAUGCAGCGACGCCGCGUGAAGGAAGAAGUAUUUCGGUAUGUAAACUUCUAUCAGCAAGGAAGAUAAUGACGGUACUUGACUAAGAAGCCCCGGCUAACUACGUGCCAGCAGCCGCGGUAAUA